UUGAAUUUAUUCUUGCUGAUUGCAAGAUCGGUGCUUUUUUCACUGUUCCUAACUGCCUCAAAAAAAAAAAGAGCCAUAUAGAUUAUUAGAUAAGUUCUUCAGUGUGCAUAUUUCAAUUUAGCUGUGGUUUACUUUGCCUCUGUGGAAAGCAUAAAAUGGAAGAAUGGUUAAGAGGUUAUUUGCAAUAAUCCAGGAGAGAAACAAUGGCAAAAUGACAGCACGAUUGUAUACUGAUGGAUAAUCCAGUGGAGCAGGAAAAACUGAUGCUACAAGGGAGAAAAAAGAAUUGUUAAAGCAAAGUCUUUGAAGAGGCAAAAAGGGAUGGGAUUCACUGUAAAGUAGAGGUUCGUAUGAUAUAAAAACAUGAACUGUUUCUCAACAGUAAUGGAAGAGGAGACAAAGAAUCUGGUCUGAUAUAGGCAGGCUGACAUGCUUAGUGGUAAGAUCAUAUGGAAAUUUCCUUUUAAUGACUUCAAUUUUAUAAAUGAACUAGAAAGCAAAAAUGUUAUCUAAGAGAGGGCAUGCCAGAACUAUACUAUUUCAUUUACAAUAGUUUCACAGUGUGUUCCUCCAAUAUUUUUAUAUUUUCCACAGUGCUUUUGUUCUAUUUGCUAGCCACAGUUCUUAGCCAUUUUUUUUUUUUUUUUUUUUUUUUUUUUUUGAGACGGAGUCUCGUUCUGUCGCCAGGCAGGAGUGCAAUGGUGUGAUCUCGGAUCACUGCAACCUCCGCCUCCCAGGUUCAAGCUAUUCUCCUGCCUCAGCCUCCUGAGCAGCUGGGACCUUAGGCACCUGCCACUGCACCCAGCUAAUUUUUGUAUUCUUAGUAGAGACGGGGUUUCACUAUGUUGGCCAGGAUGGUCUCAAUCUCUUGACCCCAUGAUCUGCCCUCCCUGGCCUCCCAAAGUGCUGGGAUUACAGGUGUGAGCCAUAGUGCCCAGCCCAUAUAUUAUUCUUUUAAAUGGCCUACAGUAUCAGCCUUUCAGAUUCAAACAAAGGAAAAAUAGAAUUUUGACUGAAAUUAAAUGUAUGAAUUUGAACAUAAUCAGCAGCUUAACAAUAUCAUGUCUUUCUAGAAAACUGACCUGUCUCUCCACUUAUUCCAGGCUUCUUUUAUGUCCUCUAAUAAAGGUUUAUAUUUUUCUAUUUUCAGUUUUGUUCGCAUGUUGUCAAAUUCAAUUCUCAAUAUUUUAUAUUUUUGCUUUUAUUUUGGAAUGUGAGCUAUCCUUCUCUUAUCUCAUCCUAUAGCAUUUAAGACUAGACUGGAUAUUACUUAUACAAAGGAAGGUAAUUCAAUUUCUGCCAACUGGUAUUCUUGUGACUUUAUCCCCACAAAUUUCUCUCUCUGCAGCUGAAAAACACAAACUCAAUAACCUCUGUAAUUAAAAAAAAUUAAAUAUAAAAAUAUUUACAUUAUUCCUAUUGUACUGACUAGACAAUUGAGUCUCAAAGACGAUAAUUUAUCCAACAUAAUUGUGUGAAUAAUGACAAAAAAACACCCAGUUUUGGGAAAAUUACAAAUGCAAUUUCUAGCAGACACUGCUUGGUUAUCUAGUGUUUUGAAAUAAACAACUCCAAAACUUCGUGGCUUGAAAUAAGCAUUAUUUAUCUUAUUACAGUUGUUUGGGUUGAUAAUUUAGACAGAGCUUAGCUGGGAUGGCUUGUCUUUGCUCCAUGUUAUGCUGACUUGACUCACUCAUCUAGUUGCAGUUAACUGGCAGGGCAGCUGGAGCCUGGCUGGUCCCAGAUGGCCACACACUUUGUGGCUGGUAGUUGCCUGGCACUCAUAAGGUGCCUUCAUUUUCCUCCACCUAGCCUAUCCAGCAGACUAUCUUGGGCAUCCUGGGCUUCAAGAAGAAAACCGCGAUGUACCAGCACAA
rnacentral:lncRNA from 1 species